GACAGAGGUGCCAAGCGUUAGGCGGAAUCACUGGGCUUAAAGCGUGUGUAGGCGGACCUGUAAGUGCCUUGUGAAAUCCCAUGGCUCAACCAUGGAACGGCUGGGCAUACUGCGGGUCUGAGCUGUCUAGGGGCAACCGGAACAAACGGUGGAGCGGUGAAAUGCGUAGAUAUGCGGAGGAACACCGAUGGCGAAGGCAAUCCCCUGGGCCUGUACUGACGCUCAUGCACGAAAGCGUGGGGAGCAAACAGG
rnacentral:rRNA from 1 species